CUGGUUCCACUGCAGGGGAUCUUCACAGAGUGCUGGCCCACCCCAGAACUGCUGUUUUUAUACAUUUUGUGGUGACAGAGCUGCCACAGACCAGCUGGCCAAGGCCAUGGAUCUGCCACAGCAAUUCCCAGCAGCUGGAAUGUCACUUCCCAGCAGCUGCUGGGGGCAGUGACCUCUCGUGAGCUCCCUCCCCUUUCCCUGGAACAUGAGCUGGCUCGUCCCAAAAACACCUCACACGGGACACACAGGUUGGGAUCCAGGGGGGUCCCACCCCUGCAGGGCUGUCUCUGGAGCCUGGAGAUGCAUCCACAGCCCUGGAACACCUGAACUGGGGAAGCUCAGGUUUUGCAAUGAGGCUCCUGAGUGAAAUACAGGUGGCCAAAGGAAAAAACUUUCACAAAAACAUUUUGGUCAAAUUUCUGCCCUCAGAGGAUCUGGACUAAAGAAACUGAUGGCAGCCCUGGUUUAACCUGAGCCCUGAAGGCACCUGUGAGCCCAGAUUUUGUGUUUUCAUUGUCAUACCACCAAGAGACCAGGGAAAAACCCCAAAUUCCUGUACUUCAAAGAGCAUUCACCUACCCAGGUCUCUCCCAGAAGGUGGCAAUGAAGAGCUAAUGCUGAAAUUCCCCUCCAGCAACCUUCUUCAGUGAAGAGUACAGAAAUUAUUCUGACAGCAGGGUUUUAUGGACUUUUCCCCUUAAUUAUACUGAUGUCUUUUGAUUCCCAGGGCUGAUAUGUGAGUGGAUGAUGUUUUCUGACAGGGCAGAGCCCCCCCUGCUCUGCAGUUUGCUGAGGAUUCCUCUGAUGGACAAGAAACCAGUCACUGCUCUCAAAAUUGUACUGACAGGACUCGAGGAAAUGGAAUGGAGCUGAGUUGGGGGAGCUUUAGGUUGGAUAUCAGGAAAAGUUCUUCACUCAGAGGGUGGCUGGGCACUGAACAGGCUCCCCAGAAAAAGACAGCUACUUAAAAUCCCAUUCCUGUAUAAUUUAAUUGGAAGAAUAUGUAUAUUUGCUGUAUAAUAUGGAAGAGCAUUUGUUUCGAUGA